GACGAACGCUAGCGGCAGGCCUAAUACAUGCAAGUCGAACGGUAAGGUCUCUUCGGAGAUACACGAGUGGCGCACGGGUGCGUAACGCGUAUGCAACCUACCCAUUAGAGGGGAAUAGUCGCGGGAAACUGCGAAUAAUACCCCAUGAGUUCCUAAGGUCGCAUGGCUUAAGGAAGAAAACUCAGGUGCUGAUGGAUGGGCAUGCGUGACAUUAGCUAGUUGGUGAGGUAACGGCUCACCAAGGCGACGAUGUCUAGCUGGUCUGAGAGGAUGAUCAGCCACACGGGCACUGAGACACGGGCCCGACUCCUACGGGAGGCAGCAGUAAGGAAUAUUGGUCAAUGGGGGCAACCCUGAACCAGCCAUGCCGCGUGGAGGAAGACGGUUCUCUGAAUUGUAAACUUCUUUUAUGAGAGAAUAAUAUAGAGCUAUACGCUCUUAUGUAGGUACCUCAUGAAUAAGCACCGGCUAACUACG
rnacentral:rRNA from 1 species